GACGAACCGUGCAAACGUUGUUCGGAAUCACUGGGCUUAAAGGGCGCGUAGGCGGUCGGGCACGUCCGGGGUGAAAGCCUCCAGCUCAACUGGAGAAGUGCCUCGGAUACGGCUCGACUCGAGGGGGGUAGGGGCGUGUGGAACUUCCGGUGGAGCGGUGAAAUGCGUAGAUAUCGGAAGGAACGCCGGUGGCGAAAGCGGCACGCUGGACCCCUUCUGACGCUGAGGCGCGAAAGCCAGGGGAGCAAACGGG
rnacentral:rRNA from 1 species